UUAUAGCUCAAUGGUAGAGUACUUGCAUGGUAUGCAUGGGCCCUGGGUUCAAUUCCCCGUAA
rnacentral:tRNA from 1 species